UUUUAGCAUUAACGCUCACGUUUUCCAAAAGCAGCAUUUGCAAAUAUUAAAGUUAUUAUUUAAUUUAAAUAACAAAAUUGAUUUUUAAGUAAAUUCAUAGCCCAGGUGAAGUUUGCAGUGAAGAUUUCGAUUCAUUUCUAGUCUCACUGAAGCUUCAAUCAUUUGCCAAAUCGAUCGUCUGAGAUCUUCCUCCGACGAAGCUUAUGAUUUUAAUUGAAGCAACAAUAACCGACGAAGCUUUCGGCGAAACUUGUGUGAAGCUUCCAAUCUCAUAUCGUCUUCUUCUUCUUCGGUGAAGUUUCUGAUAAUAUUCCAAAGCAACGAACAGAGAAACGAGCUCUGCCGCGUUACUGUUCUCCGAUUUUUUGUUUGGGAAUGCGGUAAAGCUUUUAAUUUUUACGGGAAGGGUUUCUGGGUUUCCUUUCUUUGGGUUUGUCGAGCUGAGAAAGAGAAACAGUUCUGUUUUUAUUUUAUUUUAUUAACUCGCUGGAAUCUGAAAUUCUGUGGCGUCUGACCUUUCGAUGAGCCCUCAUUUGCAGCAGAUUCACGGAGAAAUCCGUGACCAUUUUCGAGCACUUGCGAAUGAGUUUUAAAGGUUGGAUAAGAUUAAUGAUUCUUAUAGACAAAGCAAACAACUGGAAGAACUUUCUGACAAAAUGAGAGAGUGUAAAAGGUAUUGUUUUUUCACGGGAAGUAAUGUUGUAAGUCUAUGGUGAGUUUACUUCUCAUUACUUAUAAUCUGUGUGUUGAUGAAAUUUGUUGAUGCCAUGAUCUUUUCCAAGAUUCACGUUAGUGUGUUGUUUAUGAAGUAAUUAUUGGAAUACUAUAACGUAGUAACGUAGCUCCUUCUAACUUCUGAGUCAGUGGUAUAUAAUUAUAGGUUAUGACCAUUUUUUUGCCUUAAUUUCUUGCUAGUGUUUGGUUUUUAUGUAUUUUUUAAAAUAAUCUGCUUGUUUAUAUUUCCAUUGAUUUAUGUGACAGAUUAAAGAACACAACUUUUAUGUUGCACUAAGAAAAACAUAAGUACUUGAAUACACUCGGCAACAAAAAAAUUGAACAUAUUGAAUAUUUUACACUGGUGAACCCACACGUGAAGAAAACAUUCAAAUAGAUGUUGGUUUCAGACAUUUAGGAAGACCUUCAUACAAGUAAAAGUCAUUAUGGAAGACCUUUCUGAAAUUCAUGAAUGCCUUCCUAAAAGCUAUAGAAUCCUUCUUAAGUUUUCCUAAGUAUAAGUCUGUAUAUGUAUUUUGCCUUAUUGGAUCACAGAUUAAUUACUUUGUUAUAGAUGUAUAAUGAUUUGAUUUUGUACACAUAUUGGUGUUUUAUAAUAAAGGUUGCA